AGUGAACGCUGGCGGUAGGCCUAACACAUGCAAGUCGAACGGCAGCACAGUAAGAGCUCGCCCUUACGGGUGGCGAGUGGCGGACGGGUGAGGCAUACAUCGGAAUCUACUUUUUCGUGGGGGAUAACGUAGGGAAACUUACGCUAAUACAGCAUACGUCCUACGGGUGAAUGCAAGGGUUCUUCGGACCUUGCGCGAUUCAAUGAGCUGACGUCGGAUUAGCUAGUUGGCGGGGUAAAGGCCCACCAAGGCGACGAUCCGUAGCUGGUCUGAGAGGAUGAUCAGCCACACUGGAACUGAGACACGGUCCAGACUCCUACGGGAGGCAGCAGUGGGGAAUAUUGGACAAUGGGCGCAAGCCUGAUCCAGCCAUACCGCGUGAGUGAUGAAGGCCUUCGGGUUGUAAAGCCCUUUUGUUGGGAAAGAAAAGCAGCAGGUUAAUACCCCGCUGUUCUGACGGUACCCAAAGAAUAAGCACCGGCUAACUUCGUG
rnacentral:rRNA from 1 species